rnacentral:rRNA from 1 species
UUGACCUCGAAUCAGGUAGGAAUACCCGCUGAACUUAAGCAUAUCAAAAGCCGGGAAGGAAA